UACCAGCACCCCGAGUGGUCGGGACGAUUAUUGGGCCUAAAGCCUCCGUAGCCGGUUCUACAAGUCUUCCGUUAAAUCCACCUGCUCAACAGUUGGGCUGCGGAGGAUACUAUAGAGCUAGGAGGCGGGAGAGGCAAGCGGUACUCAGUGGGUAGGGGUAAAAUCCUUUGAUCCAUUGAAGACCACCAGUGGCGAAGGCGGCUUGCCAGAACGCGCUCGACGGUGAGGGAUGAAAGCUGGGGGAGCAAACCGG
rnacentral:rRNA from 1 species